AGCGAACGCUGGCGGCAGGCCUAACACAUGCAAGUCGAACGAACUCUUCGGAGUUAGUGGCGGACGGGUGAGUAACACGUGGGAACGUGCCUUUAGGUUCGGAAUAACUCAGGGGAACUUGUGCUAAUACCGAAUGUGCCCUUCGGGGGACAGAUUUAUCGCCUUUAGAGCGGCCCGCGUCUGAUUAGCUAGUUGGUGAGGUAAAGGCUCACCAAGGCGACGAUCAGUAGCUGGUCUGAGAGGAUGAUCAGCCACAUUGGGACUGAGACACGGCCCAAACUCCUACGGGAGGCAGCAGUGGGGAAUCUUGCGCAAUGGGCGAAAGCCUGACGGAGCGACGCCGCGUGAAGGAUGAAGGUUUUCGGACUGUAAACUUCUUUUCUCUGGGAAGAUUAUGACGGUACCAGAGGAAUAAGCACCGGCUAACUACGUGCCAGCCGCCGCCGUAA
rnacentral:rRNA from 1 species